rnacentral:rRNA from 1 species
AUUGAACGCUGGCGGCAGGCUUAACACAUGCAAGUCGAACGAGUGGCGGACGGGUGAGUAAUGUCUGGGAAACUGCCUGGUGGAGGGGGCUAACUACUGGUAACGGUAGCUAAUACCGCAUACCAUCAGAUGUGCCACGAUGGGAUGAGCUAGUAGGUGGGGUAAUGGCACAGCUAGGCGACGAUCCCUAGCUGGUCUGAGAGGAUGACGAGCCACCCUGGAACUGAGACACGGUCCAGACUCUUAAGGGAGGAAGCAGUGGGGAAUAUUGCACAAUUGGCGCAAGCCUGAUGCAGCCAUGCAGCGUGUGUGAAGGAGGCCUUCGGUUUGUAAAGCACUUUCAGCGAGGAGGCGUUACUCGCAGAAGAAGCACAGGAUAACUCCGUUCCAGCAGCCGCGGUAAUUG